GCCGGCGUAGCUCAGUGGUAGAGCAGCUGAUUCGUAAUCAGCAGGCCAUGGGUUCAAAUCCCUUCGCCGGCUCCA
rnacentral:tRNA from 1 species